rnacentral:rRNA from 1 species
AACGAACGCUGGCGGCAUGCCUAACACAUGCAAGUCGAACGAAGCCUUCGGGCUUAGUGGCGCACGGGUGCGUAACGCGUGGGAAUCUGCCCUUGGGUUCGGAAUAACAGUUAGAAAUGACUGCUAAUACCGGAUGAUGACGAAAGUCCAAAGAUUUAUCGCCCAAGGAUGAGCCCGCGUAGGAUUAGGUAGUUGGUGGGGUAAAGGCCUACCAAGCCGACGAUCCUUAGCUGGUCUGAGAGGAUGAUCAGCCACACUGGGACUGAGACACGGCCCAGACUCCUACGGGAGGCAGCAGUGGGGAAUAUUGGACAAUGGGCGAAAGCCUGAUCCAGCAAUGCCGCGUGCAGGAAGAAGGCCUUCGGGUUGUAAACUGCUUUUGUACGGAACGAAACGGUCUGGGCUAAUACCCCGGGCUAAUGACGGUACCGUAAGAAUAAGCACCGGCUAACUACGUG